GGGAAUAUUGGACAAUGGGCGCAAGCCUGAUCCAGCAAUGCCGCGUGGGUGAAGAAGGUUUUCGGAUUGUAAAGCCCUUUUGGCGGGGACGAUGAUGACGGUACCCGCAGAAUAAGCCCCGGCUAACUUCGUGCCAGCAGCCGCGGUAAUACGAAGGGGGCUAGCGUUGCUCGGAAUGACUGGGCGUAAAGGGCGCGUAGGCGGCGGCCAAAGUCAGGCGUGAAAUUCCUGGGCUCAACCUGGGGGCUGCGCUUGAUACUUGGUUGCUUGAGUGGGGAAGAGGGUCGUGGAAUUCCCAGUGUAGAGGUGAAAUUCGUAGAUAUUGGGAAGAACACCGGUGGCGAAGGCGGCGACCUGGUCCUUGACUGACGCUGAGGCGCGAAAGCGUGGGGAGCAAACA
rnacentral:rRNA from 1 species